AACGCAGCGAAGGGCGAUAAGUAAUGUGAAUUGCAGAAUUCAGUGAAUCAUCGAAUCUUUGAACGCACCUUGCGCCCUCUGGUAUUCCGGAGGGCAUGCCUGUUUGAGUGUCAUGUAGACUCAAUCCCUCGGGUUUCCGAGGAGAUUGGACUUGGGUGUUGCCGCUCUGCCGGCUCGCCUUAAAGGACUUAGCGGGAUAGCACCGUAGUCGGCGUAAUAAGUUUCGUCGGUGAAGGUUGUGAUGACUGCUUACAAUCGCCCUCGGGCAAUUUUUUGACUCUGACCUCAAAUCAGGUAGGACUACCCGCUGAACUUAA
rnacentral:rRNA from 1 species